UACGUAGGUGGCAAGCGUUGUCCGGAAUUAUUGGGCGUAAAGAGCGCGUAGGUGGCUUGUCAGGUCUGAUGUGAAAACUUGGGGCUCAACCCCAAGCUUGCAUCGGAAACCGGCUUGCUAGAGUCUUGGAGAGGAGAGUGGAAUUCCUGGUGUAGCGGUGAAAUGCGUAGAUAUCAGGAGGAACACCGGUAGCGAAGGCGGCUCUCUGGAACAGUACUGACGCUGAGGCGCGAAAGCUAGGGGAGCGAACAGGAUUAGAUA
rnacentral:rRNA from 1 species